AAAAAGGCAAACCCUGAGUUUCCGUGUCCAACUUUAACUGUCCGUCUUAUAUGAAAUUUUUUUAUAAUUCGUAUUUUCAUUGUUGUUAGAUGAUAAAACAUGAUUAAUAUUUUGUGCGUGACUUGUCUUUUUAAUUUUUUUCAUAAUUUUUUCAAAUAAGACGAACGGUCAAACGUUAGGCACGAAAACCAGGGUUUGUCUUUUU
rnacentral:pre_miRNA from 1 species